AUGCAAGUCGAGCGGACAGAUGGGAGCUUGCUCCCUGAUGUUAGCGGCGGACGGGUGAGUAACACGUGGGUAACCUGCCUGUAAGACUGGGAUAACUCCGGGAAACCGGGGCUAAUACCGGAUGGUUGUUUGAACCGCAUGGUUCAAACAUAAAAGGUGGCUUCGGCUACCACUUACAGAUGGACCCGCGGCGCAUUAGCUAGUUGGUGAGGUAACGGCUCACCAAGGCAACGAUGCGUAGCCGACCUGAGAGGGUGAUCGGCCACACUGGGACUGAGACACGGCCCAGACUCCUACGGGAGGCAGCAGUAGGGAAUCUUCCGCAAUGGACGAAAGUCUGACGGAGCAACGCCGCGUGAGUGAUGAAGGUUUUCGGAUCGUAAAGCUCUGUUGUUAGGGAAGAACAAGUACCGUUCGAAUAGGGCGGUACCUUGACGGUACCUAACCAGAAAGCCACGGCUAACUACGUGCCAGCAGCCGCGGUAAUACGUAGGUGGCAAGCGUUGUCCGGAAUUAUUGGGCGUAAAGGGCUCGCAGGCGGUUUCUUAAGUCUGAUGUGAAAGCCCCCGGCUCAACCGGGGAGGGUCAUUGGAAACUGGGGAACUUGAGUGCAGAAGAGGAGAGUGGAAUUCCACGUGUAGCGGUGAAAUGCGUAGAGAUGUGGAGGAACACCAGUGGCGAAGGCGACUCUCUGGUCUGUAACUGACGCUGAGGAGCGAAAGCGUGGGGAGCGAACAGGAUUAGAUACCCUGGUAGUCCACGCCGUAAACGAUGAGUGCUAAGUGUUA
rnacentral:rRNA from 1 species